CUAAUGCUAGAUGAUGAGUUAGUGGGUGCAGCGCACCAGCAUGGCACAUGUAUACCUAUGUAACUAACCUGCACAAUGUGCACAUGUACCCUAAAACUUAUAGUAUAAUAAUAAAAAAAAAGAAAAAAUAUAUGUUAUAUAGGUUAUGCUAACUCUUAACUUUAUCCCUAAGUAAACAUUUAUAUAUUGUUAUUUUUCAUGUUGUAUAUUAAAAUUUCAUUUUUAUGCUUUUGAUAGAUGUCUAGUUUGCAAGGACUUUCAAUUUUUUAAUUCUUCUUUUUCUUUUUCUUUUUUUUUUUGAGACGAAGUUUUGCUUGUCACCCAGGCUGGAUUACAAUGGCACAAUCUCGGCUCACUUCAACCUCUGCCUUCCGGGUUCAAGCAAUUCUCCUGCCUCAGCCUCCAGAGUACCUGGGAUUACAGGCACCCACCACCACGACCAGCAAAUUCAGCUAAUUUUUGUAUAUUUAGUACAGAUGAGGUUUCUUCAUGUUGGCCAGGUUGGAAGUUCGAGAUGAGGGUGCCAGCAUGGCUGAUUUUUGAUGAAUGCUCUGUUUCUGAUUUGCUGAUGGUGGAAAGAAGAGGAGAGAACAAAUAAAGACUCUUUUAUCUCUUAAGUGCACUAAUCUCAUCAUGAGGACCUUACCCUUAUGACAUCAUCUAAACCUAAUGGUCUCCCAAAGGCCCCAUCUCUAAAUACCACCUCACUGGGGAUUAGGGCACCAGCAUAUGAUUUUUGGGGUGGGGAGUGACAUAAUUCAGUUCAUAGCAACAGACAAGCAGAGGAUAGAAAUAGUUAAUUGGUAAGAUGGAUUAGCUAACUCCUUCUCAUUCUAGAACAGUAGGACCAGAAUGAAAAUAGAGGAGCAGCUGCUGAGGAGCAGCUUAGUGACAGUUUCAGUGAUGCCGAGUUCUUAAGUGUGAAAAGAAACAACCAUAUGCUCUUAAAGUCAGUAAGUGAGGGCUGGGGGAUAGGAAUUAGUAGGGGAAAUAUUCUUUCCCAAAUGUACAAUUAAACUGUAUGGUUUCCAAUGAUAAUUGUCAGUAGUUUCCAUAUGAUAUGCUUACCACAUAUUUGAUAUAAUAUGAAAAUAUGUCUCCCUGUA
rnacentral:lncRNA from 1 species